rnacentral:lncRNA from 1 species
CUUGGUGCACACGAAAAAUAUGACGUGGAAAAAAGAAUGGGUAGCUUCAUGCACAUGUGGAAGAAAGUAAUCCACACAUGGAACAGAUUGGGACUAAUUCGUGAAUGGGAUCACUCGACCUGCACACAUUAGACUAGAUCAAUAUAGAAAAUCAAUCAAACUUGAAUAAUUUAUCUAAAAUAAAAUGAUGAAGGAAACACAUUUUUCUAUGUUUAAAUCCAAAGUAUGUGCAUAAAAAUAAUAAUAAGUGCUAUGUAAAAUAGAUUAAUUUAUACAUUAUUUAGCACUUAUCACA